rnacentral:rRNA from 1 species
UACGUAGGGUGCGAGCGUUAAUCGGAAUUACUGGGCGUAAAGCGUGCGCAGGCGGUUUUGUAAGACAGAUGUGAAAUCCCCGGGCUUAACCUGGGAAUGGCAUUUGGGACUGCAAGGCUGGAGUGCGGCAGAGGAGACUGGAAUUCCUGGUGUAGCAGUGAAAUGCGUAGAUAUGCGGAGGAACACCGAUGGCGAAGGCAAUCCCCUGGGCCUGCACUGACGCUCAUGCACGAAAGCGUGGGGAGCAAACAGG